AGAAUCAACGCUGGCGGCGUGCCUAACACAUACAAGUCGAACGAGAAAGUGGAGCAAUCCAUGAGUAAAGUGGCGACCGGGUGAGUAACACGUGACUAACCUACCUUCGAGUGGGGGAUAACCUCGGGAAACCGGGGCUAAUACCGCAUAACAUCUUUGAAGUGGAAAUUUCGGAGAUCAAAGGAGCAAUUCGCUGGAAGAGGGGGUCGCGGCUGAUUAGCUAGUUGGUGGGGUAACGGCCUACCAAGGCGACGACGGGUAGCUGGUCUGAGAGGAUGGUCAGCCACAUUGGAACUGAGACACUGUCCAGACUCCUACGGGAGGCUGCAGUCGAGAAUCUUGGGCAAUGCACGAAAGUGUGACCCAGCGACGCCGCGUGGAGGAUGAAGGCCCUUGGGUUGUAAACUCCUUUAUGGAAGAAGAACGUCCCUUCGGGGACUUGACGGUACUCCAUGAAUAAGCCACGGCUAACUACGUGCCAGCAGCCGC
rnacentral:rRNA from 1 species